rnacentral:rRNA from 1 species
UACAUAGGGGGCAAGCGUUAUUCGGAAUUAUUGGGCGUAAAGGGCGCGUAGGCGGCCUGGCAAGUGGAAGGUGAAAUCCCUCGGCUUAACCGAGGAACUGCCCUCCAAACUGCUUGGCUUGAGUCCGGGAGAGGUGAGUGGAAUUCCCAGUGUAGCGGUGAAAUGCGUAGAGAUCCGGAAGAACACCGGUGGCGAAGGCGGCCUGCUGGGCAGUAGCUGACGCUGAGGCGCGACAGCGUGGGGAGCAAACAGG